GCCUCGCGCCGCCCCUUCCGCCUCAGCGAUGGCGGAGGCCGAGGAGGAGCUGGCGCACGCCGAGGUGCUGGAGCUCUUCCAGGCGGCGCUGGCGCGGCUGGUGCAGGACCCGCUGCUCUGCGACCUCCCCCCGCAGGUGACGCCGGAGGAGAUCGGCUCGCAGGUGGCGCUGGAGUACGGGCAGGCCAUGACCGUGCGGGUCUGCAAGGCGGACGGCGAGACCAUGCCCGUGGUGGUGGUGCAGAACGCGACCGUGCUGGAGCUGAAGAAGGCGCUGCGGAGACACGUCCAGCUGCGGCAGGCGCGGCAGGGCGGCGCCCAGCACCUCAGCUGGAAGUACAUAUGGAGGACGUACCACCUCACCUACGCCGGAGAGAAACUGGCGGAUGACAGAAAGAAGCUGAGAGAGUAUGGCAUCAGAAACCGGGAUGAGGUCAGCUUCAUUAAGAAACUUCGAAAGUAACCUGUCAGGGCAGGGAAUGAUGAUUCAGCUACUUUGGUUAACAAACCACAUCAGGACCAGCAGAAGCAAUACCUAAGUGCUAGCAAUGGUGCAUCUCUAACCCCUACAUUACAUACUUGAUCAAUCUCUGGAAAUCACUGUCACAGAUGUGGCAGGUUGUUAACUAAUGCCUAGGAAGAGGUCUCUGUGUUACAGGUGACUGCCACCAUCCAGUUCAUUUGAUCCUCCUGUGAGUCUCAUUACACCCAAGUGACUCUUCUUCCACCUGCUCCUAAUGCUCCUAGAAUCCAGCUCUACCACGACCAGGCACUAGAUCCAGCACUCUCCUAGAGGAAAAGAUUGUACCAUUUCCCAGAGAAGCAAACUCCAGCUGAAUAUAAAUUCCUACAUGUUUUUGCAGUCACUGUUCAAAAUGUUUUCCUCUGAGUUGUAUGCACUGUGAUUAAAGAGACUCUAGUUUUCUAAAGC